rnacentral:rRNA from 1 species
AGAGUUUGAUCCUGGCUCAGGAUGAACGCUAGCUACAGGCUUAACACAUGCAAGUCGAGGGGCAGCAUGAACUUAGCUUGCUAAGUUUGAUGGCGACCGGCGCACGGGUGAGUAACACGUAUCCAACCUUCCGUUUACUCAGGGAUAGCCUUUCGAAAGAAAGAUUAAUACCUGAUAGUAUGGUGAGAUUGCAUGAUAACACCAUUAAAGAUUUAUUGGUAAACGAUGGGGAUGCGUUCCAUUAGGUAGUAGGCGGGGUAACGGCCCACCUAGCCAACGAUGGAUAGGGGUUCUGAGAGGAAGGUCCCCCACAUUGGAACUGAGACACGGUCCAAACUCCUACGGGAGGCAGCAGUGAGGAAUAUUGGUCAAUGGGCGAGAGCCUGAACCAGCCAAGUAGCGUGAAGGAUGAAGGUCCUACGGAUUGUAAACUUCUUUUAUACGGGAAUAAAGUUUCCUACGUGUAGGAUUUUGUAUGUACCGUAUGAAUAAGCAUCGGCUAACUCCGUGCCAGCAGCCGCGGUAAUACGGAGGAUGCGAGCGUUAUCCGGAUUUAUUGGGUUUAAAGGGAGCGCAGACGGGAGAUUAAGUCAGUUGUGAAAGUUUGCGGCUCAACCGUAAAAUUGCAGUUGAUACUGGUUUCCUUGAGUGCAGUUGAGGCAGGCGGAAUUCGUGGUGUAGCGGUGAAAUGCUUAGAUAUCACGAAGAACCCCGAUUGGAAAGGCAGCUUGCUAAACUGUAACUGACGUUCAUGCUCGAAAGUGUGGGUAUCAAACAGGAUUAGAUACCCUGGUAGUCCACACGGUAAACGAUGGAUACUCGCUGUUGGCGAUAUACUGUCAGCGGCCAAGCGAAAGCAUUAAGUAUCCCACCUGGGGAGUACGCCGGCAACGGUGAAACUCAAAGGACAUUGACGGAAGGGCGAAUCGCGGCCG